rnacentral:rRNA from 1 species
AUGAUCCCUAUAGGGCACGGUCAGCGAGAGUUAAUUAUUGGGGACAGGCAGGCUGACACAACAGCAGUAGCCACAGAUACAAUUCUCAAUCAAAAAGGGCAAGGUGUAAUAUGUGUUUAUGUAGCUCUCGGUCAAAGAGCAUCCUCCGUUGCUCAAGUAGUAACUACUUUCCAUGAGGAGUGGGCCAUGGAAUACACUAUUGUAGUAGCUGAAAUGGCGAAUUCACCUGCUACAUUACAAUACCUCGCUCCUUAUACGGGAGCAUCCCUGGCUGAGUAUUUUAUGUACCGCGAACGACAUACUUUAAUAAUUUAUGAUGAUCUCUCCAAAUAG